rnacentral:rRNA from 1 species
CUCGUAGGCGGCUUGUCGCGUCGGCUGUGAAAACCUGGGGCUCAACUCCGGGCCUGCAGCCGAUACGGGCAAGCUAGAAUUCGGGUAGGGGAGACUGGAAUUCCUGGUGUAGCGGUGAAAUGCGCAGAUAUCAGGAGGAACACCGGUGGCGAAGGCGGGUCUCUGGGCCGAAAUUGACGCUGAGGAGCGAAAGCGUGGGGAGCGAACA